AAACAACAACAAAACCCCCGUUCUUCGGACGUGCGAAGAAAUAAAACCUGCGACUCGGAUUAUGUUCUGUUUCCCCGCUUUGCCCUGGAGGCAUGGCUCUCUUCACACGUAUUUCAUACACAUGGGAAGUGAUAGUGAAUAGGGUAGUCGCGACAUCCCGUGGGAUACCUCCCAAGCUGGAGCAGCAGGAGAUGGAUAGGUUUUUUCCCCUUCCCCACCGUCCGUCUGCGCACCAUGUGGAUGUAGGACCCCUGCUUGGAGGUAAACCGGGCAGCGUCAGAAUAUUCCGAGAUAGAAGGGACUUGUGAGGGACUCCCCCGCCCCGCGUCUCCUUUCCCUCCCAAAUGGCAGGCAGAAGAUGAUGCAAAAGUAUGUACUUAUUUGCUGGCAUGACCAUCGACGCAUAGGAGAGGAUCAAGCAGAGAAAAGGGACAGGCAGCUGUUUGCUUGAAGCAAAGGCCUCCAAAGCCAGUUACAUCAGUCAAGGUUGGAUAGAGUAAGCCCAAGGCCAUCCCAUGAGCUUCAUGUCUGGGCAAGAUUUGGACCUGAGCAUCUCACAAUCAAAUAUGUGAUAAGACAGCUUUUGAAGGUGAUGCUGUACGAUCACUGCCUAGUGUCGAUAUUGGACUAGACGAGAGCCAAAAACUGCAACUGAAUUCAGUUAAGAUGGCAAUCCUGCUGUUCAGAGUGUCCCAAUGCUCUAGCGCAACAGCACUGACACCAAGACUUUAAAAUAAGGUAAGAAAUAGCAGUGUUUGCAGAGAUCCAGCCCUUCCAGUGUUUU